GAAAUAGAAAAUACAAGUAUAUAAAACACCUAAGUAUUCAAUACUUACAUGUUUAGAGCUAAAUAUUUCUAAUUAAGUCAUGUCUAAUUUGUUUUGGAGAAAAUUUUAACUUAAAUUCUAAGUUGUUUAUUACAAAUUUUAUAUAUUAUAUUAUAUAUAAUAGAGGAGUGAUAAAAAUAUGGGGGGGCUAGGGCCACUCCAGGUCUAGGAGUGGCUCCGCCACUGUACUGGAGCCAACUCCGCCAGACACACUCUUGUGAAAAUAUUUAGCAUGCUAUACUAUAUAUACGAAUCCUAUAAUAUUAAUAUAUAUAAUAUAAAUAAUUUUUUUUUCGAGGACCCUCAAGAAUCAGAAAUCCUAUGCAGUGGCGCCACUUACAUCACCUCAGGGCUGCCCCUGCUUCCUUCCUUGGCGAAGUUGCCAAAUACUCCCAUAAUCGCUAGCAAGUAAUCUUUGUUGGUCACAUCAUAUUUCAUCUCAGACAAAAAAACAUUUUUCUAUUGACCUGUCAAGAAACCUCAUUCUUAAUUAUCACCGACC
rnacentral:lncRNA from 1 species